GUAGGUGGCAAGCGUUGUCCGGAAUUAUUGGGCGUAAAGCGCGCGCAGGCGGUUCGUUUAAGUCUGAUGUGAAAGCCCACGGGCUCAACCGUGGAGGGUCAUUGGAAACUGGAGAACUUGAGUACAGAAGAGGAAAGCGGAAUUCCACGUGUAGCGGUGAAAUGCGUAGAGAUGUGGAGGAACACCAGUGGCGAAGGCGGCUUUCUGGUCUGUAACUGACGCUGAGGCGCGAAAGCGUGGGGAGCAAACAGGAUUAGAUACCCUGGUAGUCCACGCCGUAAACGAUGAGUGCUAAGUGUUAGGGGGUUUCCGCCCCUUAGUGCUGCAGCUAACGCAUUAAGCACUCCGCCUGGGGAGUACGACCGCAAAGGCUG
rnacentral:rRNA from 1 species